GGUAAAAUGGCUGAUUAUAGGCGAUAAAUUGUAAAUUUAUUAAUGAUUUUUUUCUCUUUUACUA
rnacentral:tRNA from 1 species